rnacentral:rRNA from 1 species
AACGAACGCUGGCGGCAUGCCUAACACAUGCAAGUCGAACGAGACGUUCGGGUCUAGUGGCGCACGGGUGCGUAACGCGUGGGAACCUGCCCUUAGGUUCGGAAUAACUCCCCGAAAGGGGUGCUAAUACCGGAUAAUGUCUUCGGACCAAAGAUUUAUCGCCUUUGGAUGGGCCCGCGUUGGAUUAGCUAGUUGGUAGGGUAAAAGCCUACCAAGGCGACGAUCCAUAGCUGGUCUGAGAGGAUGAUCAGCCACACUGGGACUGAGACACGGCCCAGACUCCUACGGGAGGCAGCAGUGGGGAAUAUUGGACAAUGGGCGAAAGCCUGAUCCAGCAAUGCCGCGUGAGUGAUGAAGGCCUUAGGGUUGUAAAGCUCUUUUACCCGGGAUGAUAAUGACAGUACCGGGAGAAUAAGCUCCGGCUAACUCCGUG